GGUUCUAUAGUGUAGUGGUUAUCACAACGGAUUCUGAUGUCUUCACAUUCCGUUAACCCCGGUUCGAGUCCGGGUAGGACCU